rnacentral:tRNA from 1 species
AGUUCCAUAGUGUAGAGGUUAGUACAUCUGCUUUACAUGCAGAAGCUCCUGGGUUCGUGCCCCAAUGGAGCCA